UUGAAUAAACUUGCAGGCUGUUUGCUGGUCUCUCCUCUUUGAGACAUACCUUAAUGUUGCCUCGGCGGAUCAGCCCGCGCCCCGUAAAACGGGACGGCCCGCCAGAGGACCCAAACUCUAAUGUUUCUUAUUGUAACUUCUGAGUAAAACAAACAAAUAAAUCA
rnacentral:misc_RNA from 1 species